AUGAUUGCUGGCUAUUGCUAGAGGAAAGUCCAUGCUCGCACAUUGCUGAGACGCAUGUAGUGUUUGUGCUAGAAGAAAAAAUAAUUCUAGGUAUUAAGCCUCUUAAUAACGGCCUUUCUUUAUCUAAGGCUAUGCUAUGAAAAAAGAAAGCUAAGGUGCCACAGAGACGAUUUUAUUAGAAAUAGUAAAGUGAAACGCGGUAAACCCCACAAGCGAGAAACCCAAAUUUUGGUAGGGGAGAUCACUAAAGGGAAUUGAACUAAUAGUGGUAUAUACUUUGUGUAUAUAGAUAAAUAAUCAUUCCAGACAAAACAUGGCUUAUAG
rnacentral:RNase_P_RNA from 1 species